CAACGUCAUGCCUUUUUUAUUUUCAGAAAUCUCCCAUGUUAAAACACAGGUUUUAUGGUUCAGAAGAGCUGUACUUGGAGGACUUGCUACAUGCACACUCUUAAAUAUAUUAUGGUGUUGGGCAGUUUUAGAGAUUGUUCCCCAGAUGGCCGUGGAGUCACUGCUGGAGGAGAAACUCUUAAAUAGCAGCGCAGGACAAACAGAGACGACUCAUACAGCACACACAUUUAUCUACUCCAACAUAUCCCUAGAGGAGUCUGAAAAGGCAGGGGAGAUAGCAACGAUACCUCUAACCAAGAUCAUAACACAGAAGUACAGCCGGUUCUCAUGGGUGGCAGAGCUGAUCCAGAUCUUCAUCACCAUCAGUAUAACCGUGAGCUUCCUCGUGAUGGGCAUAGCCAUGAAGCACACCAGUGAG
rnacentral:lncRNA from 1 species